UACAGAGGUCUCAAGCGUUGUUCGGAUUCAUUGGGCGUAAAGGGUGCGUGGGCGGCGCGGUAAGUCGGGUGUGAAAUCUCGGAGCUUAACUCCGAAACUGCAUUCGAUACUGCCGUGCUUGAGGACUGGAGAGGAGACUGGAAUUUACGGUGUAGCGGUGAAAUGCGUAGAUAUCGUAAGGAAGACCAGUGGCGAAGGCGGGUCUCUGGACAGUUCCUGACGCUGAGGCACGAAGGUCAGGGGAGCAAACGGG
rnacentral:rRNA from 1 species